rnacentral:rRNA from 1 species
GCGAAAUGCGAUAAGUAAUGUGAAUUGCAGAAUUCAGUGAAUCAUCGAAUCUUUGAACGCACCUUGCGCUCCUUGGCAUUCCAUGGAGCAUGCCUGUUUGAGUGUCACGU